rnacentral:rRNA from 1 species
CAAGUCGAGCGCUUCACUUCGGUGAGGAGCGGCGGACGGGUUAGUAACGCGUGGGAACAUACCCUUUUCUAAGGAAUAGCCACUGGAAACGGUGAGUAAUACCUUAUACGCCCUUCGGGGGAAAGAUUUAUCGGUGAAGGAUUGGCCCGCGUUAGAUUAGUUAGUUGGUGGGGUAAUGGCCUACCAAGACUACGAUCUAUAGCUGGUUUGAGAGGAUGAUCAGCAACACUGGGACUGAGACACGGCCCAG